GAGCUCGCUUCAUCAGCACAUACACUAAAAUUAGAGCGAUACAGAGAUUAGCAUGGCCCCUGCACAUCAGAUACACAAGCUUAAAUGCUGUAUGUUUUU
rnacentral:snRNA from 1 species